UGUUUAGUUUUGUAAGGAACCAUCAAAUUGUCUUCCAUUGUGGAUGCACCAUUUUGUAUUCCCACCAACAAUGAAUGAGAGCUACCGAUCCACAUCCUGGCCAGUGCUGGUGUUGUCAGCGUGCUGGAUGUUGGCUGUUCUAAUAGGUGUGUGGUGGUAUUUCUUGUUUUAGUGACCUGCUUUUAAUAAAUAGAAUACCACACAAGUGAUGGGAUGCCCCUUCUGUGACUAGGUCACAAAAGACUAUGACUUCCAUCAGGUUAGCAUUUUCUCUCAGGCUUGUCCUGAUGAAGCCAGCUACCAUGUUGUAAGCUGCCCUAUAGAGAGGUCCAUGUGGCGGGGAACAGAGGAGGGUCUCUAGGCAACAGCCGGUGAGGAACUGAGGACCUCAACCCAAUAGCAUGAGAGUGAUGAAUCCUAUCAAAAAUCGCUUGAGUGAGCUUGGACCCAGGUCCACCCCAUGGCCAAGACCAGAGAUGACUGCAGCCCCGGCUGACACCUUCACUGCAGCUUGGGAGAGACCCAGACCCAGAGGAUCCAGCUAACUCAUACUUGGAUUCCUGACCCACAGAAACUGUGAGAUAACAUUUUUUAAAGACUGGAAUAAUUUAUUAUGUGGCAGUGGAUAACUAACACAGUAGCCAUUAAAAUAUAUUUAUUAUUAUUAUUAUUUUAAUGUUUAUUUACUUUGAGAGAGACAGAGUGUGAGUGGAGGAGGGACAGACAGUGAGGGAGACACAGAAUCUGAAGCAGGCUCCAGGCUCUGAGCUGUCAGCACAGAGCCUGACAUGGGGCUCAAACUAACGAGCUGUGAGAUCAUGACCUGAGUCGAAGUCGGAUGCUCUACUGACUAAGCCACUCAGGUGCCCCAAAUAUGUCUAUUAUUUUAAUUGUUCUUCCCCAGGUUAGAGAUACAGGUUGGGUACACAGCAGAAUCACAGGGAAUGGGAAUUUCUAAAAUACUGAUUCUCAGCCCCAAACUGAUUUUGUAUACCUGGGUUGAAUCCCAGAUGAGGCUGAUAUACAUCCUGAACAGAAGAACAUUAUUGUAGGUUGCUGGCUGAUUUUUGAAAUUAAGCAGGCAUCUGGGAAAAAAUGCUGAGUUCUAGGCUUCAACAAAGAAGAUUCUGUUUCAGUUGAUUAAGGGUCAGGUCAGGGAUCUGAAUGUUUAUUUAUUUGUAAAUUUAUUUAACUCCAAGUUAGUUAAUAUAUAGUGUAAUAAUGGUUUAAAGAGUAGAAUUCAGUGAUUCAUCACUUACAUAUAACACCCAGGGCUCAGCCCAACAAGUACCCUCCUUAAUGCCCAUCACCCAUUUAGCCCAUUCCCUCACCCAACACCCCUCCAGCAACCCUCAUUUUGUUCUCUGAUUUAAGAGUCUCUUACAGUUUGUCUCCCUCCCUCUUUUUAUUUUUCCUUCCCUUCCCCUAUGUUCAUAUGUUUUGUUUCUUAAAUUCCACAUAUGAAUUAAGCCAUAUAUUUACCUUUCUCUGACUGACUUAUUUCAUUUAGCGUAACACACUCUAGUUCCAUCCACAUCGUUGCAAAUAGAAAGAUUUCAUUCUUUUUGAUGGCUGAGUAAUAUUCCAUUUUAUGUAUAUAUCACAUCAUCUUUAUCCAUUCGUCAGUCAAUGGACAUUUGGGAUCUUUCCAUAAUUGGGCUUGUUGAUAGCACUGCUAUAAACAUUGGGGAGCAUGUGCCUCUUCAAAUCAGCAUUUUGUAUCCUUUGGGUAAAUACCUAGUAGUGUAAUUACUGGGUUGUAGGGUAGCCCUAUUUUUAAUUUUGUGAGAAACCUCCAUACUGUUUUCCAGAGUGGCUGCACCAAUUUGCAUUCCCACCAACAGUGCAAAAGGGUUCCGCUUUCUCUGCAUCCUCAUUAACAUCUAUAGUUUCCCAGGUUGUUAAUCUUAGCCAUUCUGGCAGGUGUAAGGUGGUAUCUCAUUGUGGUUUUGAUUUGUAUUAGGGAUCCAAAUUUUAAAAAAUGUCUCAGAUGUUUCUGAUGAUCCUCCUGCUGUGGGAACUACUGGUUUAGGUGACGUCUGUACUAUUUAGUGAACAUGCACAUUUCCUGAAGUGUUUGCCUAAUAUUAGACCCGUGAUUUUUAUUCCUGGCUGCACAUUAUGAUCACCAAGGGAGCUUUUAAAAAAAUACUGUUACCUGGGCCCCACCCCAGACCAAUUAAGUCAGAAUCUCAGGGGGUUGGUUCUGGCACUAACAUUUUUAAAAGCUCCCCGGUUGAAUCUAACGUGCAACUAAGGUUGAGAACUUUAUGUUAAAUCUUUAAAGAAUAGAAUUUUCUCAUGAACUGCAUUUAGAGGCUGCAUUGGAUUAUUGUCUGUUUUUAGUCUUUCAUAGAGUUAAUUUAUUAAAAAAGUUUUCCAGUGUGAUCUGAUCAAUGCAAACCUACUGCAUCUGUAUCUUCCUUUGAUCUGAGUGCUCCACUUCUAUAAAUGUGGUUGAAGGCAGCUUUAGCUUAAUUUUUUUGUUUGGUUUUUGUUUUUGUUUUUGUCGUUUUGUUUUGUUUUUUUGGGGGGCAGCAUCACCACUCUGUUGUUUCACUGGGCCUUGAAAGAACUGGAUCUUUAGGUCUUCUUCACAUUUGCUGCCGAUGAAAUGGCCUCCUCCAUCAGAUAUGUUUCCUGGAGGUCAUUUUGGUGCCUGUGGCCUGGGAUAGAUCAGGCUUGGGUCCUGGAGAGGCAAUGGGGAUGACCUUUCAGGGCAGGUAAAUAGCAAGGGGACUGAUCCAUUGGCCUGAAGACACACAUGCUUGGGCUGAAGCUGGCUUUCAGCCUCACUCACUCCUUCAGCCACAUGCCCCUGUGUGGGGCACAGCCCCUAGUGGCAAGACUGAGACCCAUGUGAACCACGUGGACUGGAGCAGUGGAGAGUGGUUCCCCAAAGGGAAAUUGAGCUGCUGUUCCCCAAAGAUGGGCCAUGGAUGUUGGGUAGGCAAAAUUAGUGCUGCCCUUAAACCCGGGCAACAGGAGCCCCUACUCCAGGCCCCGUGCUUUAAAGGGCCCUUCUCAGGUCCUGCUCGGGGUGGGGCCCCACAAGGUUGGGCUAAGGAACUGUGUCCAUCCACACCUGUGCCACACCACUCUGUGCCUGAUAUCACUCACCUGGUGGCUGGAGGCUACUUUCAGGGCCUAUGUGCAUCUCUACCCUGGGCCCAAUUCCCGAGGGCCAACUAUACUUCCAGUGUGGGUACCCUAGGCCUGUGGGGUGAUCUAGGGGUGACAGGUGGUAGAUGGUAUAGAUGGAACUUGGACAUGUGGGCUGGGGUAUCCAUUCAGUGCAAGUGUGUAAGGCCCUUUGAGGUGUAGGGCAGAGCUAGGCUAUUAAGAGCAGGAGUGGGCUGGGUGCUAAUAGCUAAGGGACUGAGGUACACGGGUUCUCCCUAGGCUGCCAUAUUCCAGAAAACAUUACUAAUAAGUCCAAGAAUUUGAAAGUCAAACCUGGCCUUGCAGGUAAAUGUGAAGGUCAUUUGAUUGCUUUUUGGCUUGAUUUCUAACGUUUAGGUAUAUAGAUAUGUGGUACGUGGGCCCUCAUUUGGAUUCUUGACCAUGUGUGUGACACCACACAUGUGAAGGGUGAGCUUAUGCAAAACCAACAAAUGGAUCCAAAAGAUGUCCAUCCAGAAUGAGCCCAAGGGAAGGAUAUCUUGAGCUGGAGGUCAAGGUGAAGAAGAGGGAUUAUGUAGAUGAUGGGGAAGUUCUUGGAUAAUUUGAGACCCUUUCUCUUUAUUAAAAUCUCCUGGAAGGACCCUUAGCAAUUGAUCCUGCUAGAACCCUACAGUUUCCUUUGAUUCUUGCUGAUUGACUGGGCUCCAAAGACCACAGAGAUGGCCAAAUGUUUCCUUCCUUGCUUUAUGGCGGCAUCAUUCCAGUCUUUGCUUCUGUCUUCACAUGACUGUCUUCCCACUGAGUGUCUUUUUUUAAAUGUUUAUUUAUUUUGAGAGACAAAGGGAGUGUGAGCAGGGGAAGGAAGGUGAGAGAGGGAAUUCAAAGCAGGCUCCACACUGUCAGCAUGAAGCCCGACAUGGGGCCUGAUCUCAUGAAUCCUGAGAUCGUGACCUGAACCAAAAUCAAGAGUCAGACGCUUAACUGACUGAGCCACCCAGGUGCCCCUCCAAUGUGUGUCUUUCUGUGUAUCUCCUUCUCUCCUGAGGACACUCUCACUGGAUUUGAGACUUACUCUAAUCUGCUAUUGUCUCAUCUUGAUCCUCACCUACAUCACAUUGGCAAGGACCCUGUAUCCAAACAAGGUCGGUUUCUGAGAUUCCAUGUGGACAAGCAUUUUUGGGGGUCCACCCCACUAUGGGCUACAAAGUGUCUUUAGGAAGGACUUGGCUGCAUGCUCUUGGAGAUAACUUCAGUCUCAGAAAUGCUUGUGUCAACUCUAAAGUCGGUGCAGGGGUUGUGUGGGAUGGAAUCGGGGGAGAUGACAGGUGGACAUUUAUGGACUGUCAGCUCCCUGCUAGGUGGUUACCUGAGGUUUGUGGAGUUUAAUCCUUAAAACAAUGGUUCACAAGGGAUGACCAAGACCAGCAGCAUCAGCGUUACCUGGGGGCUUGUUAGAAACGCACAUUCUCAGAAAGGGGACCCCUCUUGCACUGUUGGUGGGAAUGCAAACUGGUGCAGCCUCUCUGGAGAAUGGAGUGGAGUUUCCUCAAAACACUAAAAAUAGAACCACCCUGCAAUCCAGCAAUUGCACUAUUAGGUAUUUACCCAAAGGAUACAAAAAUACAGAUUUAGAGGGGUACAUGCUUCCCAAUGUUUAUAGCAGCCUUAGCAACAGUAGCCAAUCUAUGGGAAGAGCCCAAGUGUCUAUCAACUGAUGAAUAGAUAAAAACCAUGUGGUAUUAUAGGGCACCUGGGUGGUUCAUUUGGUUCAGUGUCUGACUUCAGCUCAGGUUAUCAUCUCACAGUUUGUGAGUUUGAACCCUGCAUCGGGCUGUCAGCACAGAGCCUGCCUCAGAUCCUCUGUUCCCUUUUCCCUUUGGCCUCCCCUGCUUUUGCUCUCUCCCUCUCUCUUGAAAAUAAAUAAACAUUAAAAAGAAGAAGAUGUAGUGUAUAUGUAUGGUGAAAUAUUACUCGGCAAUCAAAAAGAAUGAAAUCUCGGCAGUUGCAAUGACAUGGAUGGAACUAGAAUGUAUUAUGCUAAGCGAAGUAAGUCAGUCAGAGAAAGACAAAUAUGAUAUGAUUUUACUCUGACGUGGAAUUUAAGAAACAAAACAGGUGAACGUAUGGGAAGGGGAGGUGGGAAGAUAAGAGAGAGAAACAAACCACAAGAGACUCCCAAUAAUGAAGAGUAAGCUGAGGGUUGAUGGAGGGAUGGGGGUAGGGGAUGGGCUAGAUGGGUGAUGGAGAUUAAGGGAGGCACUUGUGAUGAGCACUGGGUGUUGCAUGUAAGUGAAUCACUGAAUUCUACUCCUGAAACCAAUAUUGCACUGUAUGUUAACUAACUAGAAUUUAGAUAGAGUAAAAAAAAAAAAAAAAAGAAAGAAAGAAAGAAAGAAAUGCACAUUCUCAGGCCACCUGAGACCCAGUGAAUCAGAAACUAUGGGGUUGGGGCCCAGCAAUCUGUGUUUUAACUCACAGGUCUUCGGGUGCUUGGUCAAGUCUGAGAAGCACUGCCUGAAAACAUCCUUAAUCCUUAAAACAACCCUAUGUGUUAUCAUUACCAUGCUGAUGAGGAACGUUCAGGAAGGUGGUGUAUCCAAGCUGCCCCAAGAGGGAAACAGCCCUGCAAAGCCAAAAUACUCACCCACAAUGCCCAGCCCUCUGGAUUUAUCGUCAUUGGUUCUGUGUGAUUUGACUGAAGUUCAGUAUCUUGGAAAGAAUUCUACCCGAGUCGUCUGGUGUCCUUCCUGUUGAGUCAGCUCAGGUGACCCGUGAUGUCACGCAGUCACCAUCUUGGUGGUGCUGAGCUGGAGCACCUGGCUAAGGUACCAAACCUUAUGCAGAGCCCUCUUUCUGUGACUAUGGCCAUCCUGGAUGGUGGACUGACUUUCCACAGGCCGUUCUCUCCCCACAGCUGUCAGGGGCUGUUCUCACAGUGCCAAUAGAAUCAGGACAUUCCUUUGCCUAAACUCUACCUGUCGCUUCCCACCACGCCCAGAGUAAAUUGCAGACCUCCUGGCAUGGCUUUUAUAUCCUGCAGCAUCUGGCCCCUGCCUCCCUUCUGACAUCAUUUGGAACCAGUCUCCCCUGCUCACUGUGCUCCCCCUACCAGGCCUUCUUUCUGUGUUUUCCAGACACCAAACUGUGCACUUAAGGUUUCCUCUGCCCUUAAUGCUCUGGCAUGGCUGGCUCCUUCCAAUCCUUCAGGCUUCUGUUCAGGUGCCACGUUUCCAUCCCUAUCCCACUUUUCUUGUUCUUUUCGUCUGUGAAGCAGUGAUCACCACCUGAAAGGAUCUGUUUCCUUAUUCUUUCACUUCUAGUUUAUCGUCUGUCCCUUCCCACAGGCCACAGGCUCCAUGAAGGCCAACACCUGGGUUGGAUUGCUCACCACUGGGUUGGCACUCCAGAAUAAAACCUGACACAUAGUGGCUCCUGGUUUGGUGACUCACAUAUAAAAAGACAACUGGAGUCCCAUCAGGCAAGUGCCAGGUGCUCUGGGCAGACAGAGGAGAGGGUGGCUGAUUCCCACUCUGAGGAAGGGGAGGUGUCUCACCAGGGGUGACUAUAGAGCUCUCUCAUUUGUGUGCUUGUGACACAGAUUUUCCCUUAAAAUGCUGUGGGUGGCAGCAUUUGGAACAGUGUCCUGGGAGGCAGAAGACGCAAGUUCUGAGUCUGAGCUGUGUGACCUCACAGCAGACACUUAGCCACCCCGGGCUUCAUUUCUCUUCCUUGUACCAUAAAAGGUUUGAACCCCAGUCACGUUUAGACUGCCUUGACUCCAGUGUUGUCUGAGACUACAUUCUACUCUUUGUGAGCAGGUGACCCUGGACAAAGGUCUUCCCUUUGUGCCUCACUCACCCCAUCUGUAAAAUGGGAUCAAUGAUACCCAUCUCACACAGUUGCCGUGAGGAACAUUGCGAUGGCAAAGUGACCGAACUCAGCCAACUGUACAACACACUCUCCAAAAUUAAGGGGCUGUUCUACUUCAAGGACAAUUCUCCUGAAAUAUAUGUCUCGCUGGGAUGCCUGGGUGGCUCAGUCGGUUAAGUGCCCAACCCUUGAUUUCAGCUCAGGUUAUGAUUACACAGUUCGUGGGUUCAAGCCCCAUGAUGGGCUCUC